rnacentral:rRNA from 1 species
GUCCACGCUGUAAACGAUGGGCACUAGGCGUCGGGGGAGCGACCCUCCCGGUGCCGUCGCUAACGCAAUAAGUGCCCCGCCUGGGGAGUACGGCCGCAAGGUUGAAACUCAAAGGAAUUGACGGGGGCCCGCACAAGCGGUGGAGCAUGUGGUUUAAUUCGAUGCAACGCGAAGAACCUUACCUUGGCUUGACAUGCACGUGAAAGCCGGUGGAAACACCGGUCCUCCUUCGGGACGCGUGCACAGGUGCUGCAUGGCUGUCGU